AUGGGUCUUCAUGAGAAUUCCUCUCUUCAGGUCUCGUACUGGAGUGGUUGCGGCAGCCGGGGAUGCAGCCGGAAGGUUCCUUUGUGGGUUCUGAUGUUCUUUCAUUUCGGCCAGUUUGACUUUGGCGAUGAGAUGGAUGAUGGCUUGACGCACCCGCGGUGGUGGGAUUCUAGCCCAACACAUGUAGUUGUUGGGAUCGUGGUAAUUGGUGGUGAUCAUAGGUCUGAUCCGAGAUGGUUAUGCCUGGAAUGGCUAUGUUUUUGCAUCGUUACUUUGUUGAAGCCAUUGCUCGGAUAUGCCUGGAUUUGUUCUUUGGGGUGA
rnacentral:rRNA from 1 species